CUCAGAUUGAACGCUGGCGGCAGGCCUAACACAUGCAAGUCGAACGGUAACAGGAAGCAGCUUGCUGCUUCGCUGACGAGUGGCGGACGGGUGAGUAAUGUCUGGGAAACUGCCUGAUGGAGGGGGAUAACUACUGGAAACGGUAGCUAAUACCGCAUAACGUCGCAAGACCAAAGAGGGGGACCUUCGGGCCUCUUGCCAUCGGAUGUGCCCAGAUGGGAUUAGCUAGUAGGUGGGGUAACGGCUCACCUAGGCGACGAUCCCUAGCUGGUCUGAGAGGAUGACCAGCCACACUGGAACUGAGACACGGUCCAGACUCCUACGGGAGGCAGCAGUGGGGAAUAUUGCACAAUGGGCGCAAGCCUGAUGCAGCCAUGCCGCGUGUAUGAAGAAGGCCUUCGGGUUGUAAAGUACUUUCAGCGGGGAGGAAGGCGAUAAGGUUAAUAACCUUGUCGAUUGACGUUACCCGCAGAAGAAGCACCGGCUAACUCCGUGCCAGCAGCCGCGGUAAUACGGAGGGUGCAAGCGUUAAUCGGAAUUACUGGGCGUAAAGCGCACGCAGGCGGUCUGUCAAGUCGGAUGUGAAAUCCCCGGGCUCAACCUGGGAACUGCAUUCGAAACUGGCAGGCUAGAGUCUUGUAGAGGGGGGUAGAAUUCCAGGUGUAGCGGUGAAAUGCGUAGAGAUCUGGAGGAAUACCGGUGGCGAAGGCGG
rnacentral:rRNA from 1 species